rnacentral:lncRNA from 1 species
CUAAUGUCUCACCUGCAGUCCCUGCGUCCCAGAGCAAUCCUUUUAACACCUGAAAAAGAUGUUUUCUUUUGUUUUAAAUAUUGUCACAUUGUACAUUCCUGUUUAGUUUGUGAUCUUUUUCUACCGUACUACAGCCUCAUUACCUAUUCUUCUAGGAAGCAAGGGAAAGUUACACACACCACUCCUGGAUUCAAACAGACUCGAGCUAUCCAGAGAAGACUGAAAGAAUAUAUGCCAGGAGGCCCAAAGACUCUUGUUGCAGGCGAGGAGUGGCAUAGAAGAGGUGUCAUGCUGGGCCACAGAAGAUGUGAUUUCAUGCUGUUCAAGAACCCGCUGCAGCCUUCAGGUGUCUUCGGCACUUCUGAAUCAAAAGUUCAAGCCAAAGGUACCAGGAUCACUUGCAUGGAACCCCGUAUAGGACUGUUUCCAAGUCACCUGAAAUAA